UACGAAGGGGGCUAGCGUUGCUCGGAAUCACUGGGCGUAAAGCGCACGUAGGCGGAUUGCUAAGUCAGGGGUGAAAUCCUGGAGCUCAACUCCAGAACUGCCUUUGAUACUGGCGACCUUGAGUCCGGGAGAGGUGAGUGGAACUGCGAGUGUAGAGGUGAAAUUCGUAGAUAUCAGGAAGAACACCAACGGCGAAGGCAGCUCGCUAGGACGGUACUGACGCUGAGACGGCGAAAAGCGUGGGGAGCGAACGAGG
rnacentral:rRNA from 1 species